rnacentral:rRNA from 1 species
CAGUCGCCACGGUAAUACGAAGGGUGCAAGCGUUAAUCGGAAUUACUGGGCGUAAAGCGUGCGCAGGCGGUUGUGUAAGACAGGUGUGAAAUCCCCGGGCUUAACCUGGGAACUGCGCUUGUGACUGCACAGCUAGAGUAUGGCAGAGGGGGGUGGAAUUCCUCGUGUAGCAGUGAAAUGCGUAGAGAUGUGGAGGAACACCGAUGGCGAAGGCAGCCCCCUGGGCCAAUACUGACGCUCAUGCACGAAGGCGUGGGGAGCAAACAGGAUUAGAUACCCCCGUAGUCCCUGUCUCUUAUAC